rnacentral:rRNA from 1 species
UACGAAGGGUGCAAGCGUUACUCGGAAUUACUGGGCGUAAAGCGUGCGUAGGCGGUUUGUUAAGUCCGUUGUGAAAGCCCCGGGCUCAACCUGGGGAAUUGCAGUGGAUACUGGCAAGCUAGAGUGCGGUAGAGGAUGGUGGAAUUCCCGGUGUAGCGGUGAAAUGCGUAGAGAUCGGGAGGAACACCCGUGGCGAAGGCGGCCAUCUGGACCGGUAUUGACGGCUGAGGCGCGAAAGCCAGGGGAGCAAAGCGGG